rnacentral:rRNA from 1 species
GAUGAACGCUGGCGGCGUGCCUAAUACAUGCCAGUCGAGCGAACAGACGAGGAGCUUGCUCUUCUGACGUUAGCGGCGGACGGGUGAGUAACACGUGGAUAACCUACCUAUAAGACUGGGAUAACUUCGGGAAACCGGAGCUAAUACCGGAUAAUAUAUUGAACCGCAUGGUUCUAAAGUGAAAGACGGUUUUGCUGUCACUUAUAGAUGGAUCCGCGCCGCAUUAGCUAGUUGGUAAGGUAACGGCUUACCAAGGCAACGAUGCUUAGCCGACCUGAGAGGGGGACCGCCCAAACUGGAACGGGAACACGGUCCAGCCCCCUCCGGGAGGCAGCAGUAGGGAAUCUUCCGCAAUGGGCGAAAGCCUGACGGAGCAACGCCGCGUGAGUGAUGAAGGUCUUCGGAUCGUAAACCUCUGUUAUUAGGGAAGAACAAAUGUGUAAGUAACUAUGCACGUCUUGACGGUACCUAAUCAGAAAGCCACGGCUAACUACGUG